CCUUCUCUGCCCUCAACAAACCUAAUCGACACCCUCUGUAUGAAACCCUCGUCCUUUGAUUAUCUCACAUAUUCAAUUAAGAAUUCCAAAGAUCUUCCUCCUUAUUUUUCUUCUCAAAACCAUCCAUUGCCAUAUCAGUUGCGUCUGAAUCCAAAUCAGAGACUAGGGAUUUCACCCCUGCUCUAGCUCAUCUCGAUUGUUGAACAUCAAUCGUCGUCCUUCAAUGCUCUAUUCACUACCUUUCUCUUCUGAUCUUCUAUGACAUCGCGAUUUCUCCAUCACUACGAACUCUUCAUCAUGAAGCUACGACACUUGAUUUUGAAGGAUCUGGACGGGUAGAAAGCUUAAGGUAUUAUUAUGCAGUAUAAGAGCUAUGUGUGGGGAGGAUUUAGAAAGAAAUAGCGUUAAUGGUUCAGACUCACGUGAAUCAGCUGCAAGGGAAAUUUCAUUUUUCUUCCCUCAUUUACUUUCAGGAGGAACAACACUGAAGCAUGACGAACAACUGCCAAACACUACACAUUUGAGGGUCAUGGAGCACCUGUUUAUUUCGUAUGUCCGUAUUUUAAAGAAAACGUUGUAUAUGGUAUGAUACAACAGAUCAGAAAUCUAUUGUUUUGCAGGUCACAAUUGGCCGAUCGACGGACGACACCGAGGUUGAUAUUGAUCUAAGAAAAGAAGGUCGUGCCAAGAAGAUAUUCAGGCUGCAGGUGAUAAUCAUUGAAAGACCAUUUUAACCCUGUACUAAUCCAGCCAAAUGAAACAUCACAUCUAUUGAUCCUCUAACAUCACAGUUUUCACUUAUAAUGUUCAAAUACGCAGGUUGACUAUUUUGUUCAUUGUCAUUACAUAGUCGUGGAUGAUAAUUUAUGGGUUAUAAGCGGCACAAAUAGCGGUAGUAAGGGCUACUUUCCAGUAGCCCAUAGUGGAGAAAUGCAAGUUUUUUUAUUAUUAGUUAGGGUUUGAGUUGAUUUAUUAGAAUUAUAGGAAGAAAUUGUAAUUUAGAAUUUUUUUUUUAAAUUUAAGUUGUGUUUAAAGGUUUCACUGAAGUUUGUUAAUGGCGGAGCUGUUAAUGUCGGUAAAUACGGUCCGAAUUGCACUCAUGUUAUUGUUAAUAAGCUUGUUUAUGUAAGUUUAACUUUUAUUUAUGUUAAAACCUACCCCCAUUAUCUUGCCUUUACAGCAGACGAGAUCCCGGAUGGCGAUACAUGUUUAAGUGUGCAUCACCCGUUUGCGAAGCAGAAAACAGAUAAACUCUGGGAGGCCUUAAUGGAUGGGGAUAUUGACAUUCUAAGCUCUGAUCAUUCACCAUCAGACCUAGAGCACAAACUAUUCGUUGAAGGUCAAGUUAGGAAAAGCCUAUCAGCUAAGCCACAUGCAGAUGGUUAUUUCAUAUCUUUAAAGGUUGAGCAGAAGAAGCCCACAAAACCAGAGAAUGAACCGAGCAAACCUGGUUAUACCUCAAGUGUAGCAGCAGCAACAACUUUUAGAUGUUUCUAAGGUUAAUCUAAAGAAGUCACCGCCAUUAAGGUUCAUGCAACUUUUUGGCGUUUUUUGGCACGAAGAAAGUUGCGAGCUUUCAAAUGGCAUGUGAGGUUAAGAGUGUUGGUUCAAAGCUACAUAGUUAUUGAGCUCCAAAAUCAAAAACCGGUCACGGUCCGCUAUUCAACUUGGGAUGUUUUAUUUCCAAAAUGUUACUACCUGAGCCAAAUUACAUUUCUAAACAUUCUUUGGUUUAUAGUCAAUUGUUAUUUUUUUGUUUUUUUGUUUUUUUUUGAAAUGAUAUAUUAGUUGUCUUAGCAAAUUGAUAUUAAAAAUAAAUUACAUGAAAGCCGUGAAGCAACGUGCGUCUAGAAAACAUAAUUACCCGCGGCAACGCGCGGGCAUUCCCACUAGUUAAAAUUAAAAAUAAAACACAACACACACUUAGUGUGUGUGUGCGCGCGCGUAUGAGCGGAGCAAAAAAAAAAUGGGUGUUAACCCUAGUUCAGCAAUUCCUCAAAAUUGAAGGAGGAAUCGAAGACCAAAUUCGGGUUUGAAUAUAUAAUAACGAUCACCUAGUCAUGGGAAUCAUGAGGUAUGCCGAAAAUUUAUAUUUUGGUGAUAUUUUGAAAUUGUGAUAAUCAUGAACGAAAUUCUUGUAUGAAAGUUGAAUGUUUUAGUGAAAUUGAUGUGAGUAUAAGUCUAGGAACAAAACCCUAGAUGCAAACUUGUUGAAUUUAUGCCAUAAACUAGUGGUUAGUCAACUAAUCAAGUUUGAGCUAAGUGGGUUUUAUAUCAAUAUGAUUAACACGUGAAAUCGAGUGUUGAAAUCGUGAAAGUUGAUGUUAUAAUUGAAGUUCUUGAUGUUGUUCAUGUACACUAGACAUAGGGGCUUGAUUUUGAUGCUAAAACUUAGUGACAUAUGUGUGUUUGUAAAGACAUGUUGAUAAAAUUGGGAUAAGGUGUUCAAGAGAUAGGUUAGAGACUAAUCUUGCAUGCGAAACCCGCCAAGUGUUCGAUGAAAUGCUUAAAUAAAUAUGGGGCAGACCUAAAUUUUGAAAAUUCACAAUAAAUCACAGAAAAAUCGUAUGGGUGUGUACUUUAUAUGCCUAGAAAGGUCUCUGAGUAAUCUGCAUUUCGUUAGUUAACAUGAUGACUUGGUUCAGAUGUUAAAUGGGUCAAAAUUGAUGAAUUCAGUAGCUGGGUCAAAAGGACAGCAUGUUGUUUGAACUAAAAAUAAGCUGCUCUAAACAUGUUAAAAACGGAUGUGAACAGGCUGCACAGAAAAGGGCAGCACUGAAAUGCGUUUUUGUGAAAUUGAUUGAAUGGUUUGUUAAUGUAAAUAUAAAUGCAUAUUGCUAGAUGAUGGAUAUGUGAUAAUGAAUCGAUAUGAAAUACAUCUAUAUUAUGCAUUUUAAACAUUUGAAGGUUGACUUUAUGUCAAGCUAGGUACAUUGAAGCUUGGGAAGUCAACAGGUCAAACGGGUGGCAAGGUAACAACCACAACCUAUGGGCUAAGGAAUUUUGGAUGGAACUCACUUAAAAGAAUGAGUGAUGGAUUCAAAUAAUCGUCGUAAGUAAAGCUUACACCCUUUUCGUAAGAUAAGUAUUUAAUUAUAGGUUAUAAGUAUGACAUAGAUUGUAUUUGAAAUAUGGUUCCGACACGAAAUGAUACGGGUUGGAACAUAUCAAAUGAUGAAAAAUCCAUGUUUAAUGGUAAGAGAUGAAAUGAUAAUUUGGUCAUGAAGUGACAUAUAUAAAAUGCGUUUUCGAAUGGUUACUUUAUAAGUAAGCCUAAUCGGAUAAAAAAGGGGUAGAAACGGUGAUUUAGUCGCUUAUAAAUGAAAUGGGUCAAAUGGUAAAGUCGAUACCAUUUGACAAAUAAAGACUAAUAAUUGCUUGUCGAGAUGCUCACAGGAUGAAAUGCCUAUCAAUUAGCAUAUUAUGGAGAAAAGGUAUUUAAAACGGGUUAAUAUGUUGACCCGAGCCAGGUACGCAUAAUUAAGUUUAUAGUUAAAAGUGCGAUUUUGGUCAAAUUAAUUUGUGAAAGUCCUUCGUCGUAAAAUGAGGGACUUAAAUUGACCAAAAAGCCCUUGAUGGGUAACGACCCUUAGAGGUUGUUUAAGAACAUGUAAUAUGAUCAUGUAAGUGUUAAAUAAGCAUAAAAAUUCUAGGCAUAAUCCUUUUUGGGUCAAAUGUAUCAAAAUGAUUUCUGUCGUAAAUUGACAAUCCGAAAUGGUACAAAUUGGAAUAAGAAAUCCAUAUUAUAAUCAUCACAAUUAUAGUUGUGGUGGCGGAUAAUUUUUGUUUUAAUACGGAGUUGAAUGUAUGUAAAGAAAAGGAAAGAUUUAAACUUAAAGGUUUAAAUCCUCUAAAUGGGUCAAAAUAAAUUAGGUGAUAAAAAUGUUGGUUUAGUGUAAGAAAGUUACAAAAUAAACUAGCGAAUGAAGAUGUGUGUGCGAACCAUGUAAUGGUAGCGGAAACACUAAUGUUGACAAGCCCAGGGAUGGGUAAAAAGGGAUUAGAAACAAUCAUCGUUGAUAAACAUGUAUUGUUGAUAAACAUGUAUUAUGUAGAUAAAUGAAACGGGUCGAAUAAUGGCGUGAAGGAUUGAUAAGCCUUUUGCUUAUAAUUCAGCUUUUGAUGUGAAUUAAGAUGAUAAACGGAUCCGUAAUUAAAUUACGGACGCAUAGGAAAAAGAAUCACACAAAUCGGAUAAGUAGAUAAAAAGUUAUGACAUUUGGAAGUUGAAUUUUGGUUAAAAGCCAUAGUUGGGCAGAUAUGCAGGUCUAGAUACGGACCUGCUGGAAAGUGGUCUCUCCCGCGGCACGCGAGGGGACAUAGUGGCACCGGCGCGACACGCGACGGGUGUCGUGGCACACGAAAGGGCAAGGGAAGCCUCUCGCGUAGCGCGAGAGGCAUGAAUCCGGAAAAAAUAUUUUUAUUUUGUUGUUUGAUGCUAUAAACUUGUUUAAACUCAUUUUUAAGUUAUCAAAACUAACUUUUAUGUUGAUUUUGAAAUUAGGUGAACGUAGUAUGCUCCCGGAUGAAGAUCAAGUGAAGAUCAAGAGCCGAACACACGACUAAACAAAGCUUCCGCAUUGAUCUAGUUUUGCUUUAUAUAAUUGAUAUGUGUAAACACCCAUAACAUAGUUUUUGAAUGAUUCAAACAUGUGUGAACGUUUGGAUGAAAAAGUUUUUGCUAAGUCGCAUCUUUGAUA